rnacentral:rRNA from 1 species
CAAACUAGAAGGAAUGGGCGACCGGGCGCACGGGUGGGUAACACGUAUCCAACCUGCCGAUAACUCCGGAACAGCCUUUCGAAGAAAGAUUAAUACCGGAUAGUAUACGAAUAUCGCAUGAUAUUUUUUUUAAAGAAUUUCGGUUAUCGAUGGGGAUGCGUUCCAUUAGUUUGUUGGCGGGGUAACGGCCCACCAAGACUACGAUGGAUAGGGGUUCUGAGAGGAAGGUCCCCCACAUUGGAACUGAGACACGGUCCAA